UUUUAUGGUCAAUGAUGUUGCUGGCUCGUCAAGGGAGGGAACAGCUAAAAAGGUCCUUAGUCGAUGGAGGGGGACUACUGGUCCUGUUGUGGACCGUGGCCGGCCAGCCACCCAGCAGCCAGGUGGUCAACUGCACAGUUGCAGGACCCUGGUGCUCAGGAGUUCCAGUGGAAGAAGUCCAACCAGUGGGAAGGCAGAGAGACUCGCCCUGAAGGACCAGACUGUGACCAUGGACGUUCCUCCUUCUAUCAUGCGGCCUCCCAUGUCAUUGGGAGCAGGCCCGUGGUGCCAGCGAGGCCAUCCUGUGUUAGGAGAUCCCCUCUGCAGUGACACUGUGUACUGUAUAGACAGAGCACAGUGUCAGGAACCUGAGCCAGAAUGGAUCCCCGCUGUGGAUCAGGCCCUCUCUCUGUUCCUGUUCCUCCAGCACAGUGACCAAUUCCUCUCCCAGCUCUCUGACUUCAUGGGCGGACACACUCACCGGCAGCAGACCUUCCAAGAACUAUGCAAGUGGGAAGGAAAUCUGAACAUGUUGACAUUUCCGUUUUCUUGUAUAAUAACAGUGUCACGACUUCCGCCGAAGUCAGUCCCUCUCGUUUGGGCGGCGUUCGGUGGUCGACGUCACCGGCUUUCUAGCCAUCGCCGAUCCACUUUUCAUUUUCCAUUUGUUUUCUCUUUGUCUUACACACCUGGUUUCAAUUCCCCAAUUACUUGCUCAUUAUUUAACCCUCUGUUCCCCCAUGUUUGUUUGUUAGUAAUUGUUUAUUGUAUUGCGGUCCGUAUGUGUGGCCUUGUAUUUAUACGACGUGUAUUGUGAAUUAUUUGACUAAAUUGCUUUCAAUACUCAUAUCUGCUGUCCUGCGCCUGACUCAUCUCACCAGCUACACACA
rnacentral:lncRNA from 1 species